rnacentral:rRNA from 1 species
GACGAACGCUGGCGGCGUGCUUAACACAUGCAAGUCGAACGCUGAAGCUCAGCUUUUGUUGGGUGGAUGAGUGGCGAACGGGUGAGUAACACGUGAGUAACCUGCCCCCUUCUUUGGGAUAACGCCCGGAAACGGGUGCUAAUACUGGAUAUUCACUGGUCUUCGCAUGGGGGUUGGUGGAAAGGGUUUUUCUGGUGGGGGAUGGGCUCGCGGCCUAUCAGCUUGUUGGUGGGGUGAUGGCCUACCAAGGCUUUGACGGGUAGCCGGCCUGAGAGGGUGACCGGUCACAUUGGGACUGAGAUACGGCCCAGACUCCUACGGGAGGCAGCAGUGGGGAAUAUGGCACAAUGGGCGCAAGCCUGAUGCAGCGACGCCGCGUGAGGGAUGGAGGCCUUCGGGUUGGGAACCUCUUUCGCUCAUGGUCAAGCCGCAACAAUGGUUGUGGUGAGGGUAGUGGGUAAAGAAGCGCCGGCUAACUACGUG